GUUUAUAAAAUAUUUAUAAAUCACUUACAGGGAUGCCAAGUCCGAUGUUAGAACUGAGGCUGCAGACUCCUUUCAGAUCCUUGUGAACAGGUGCUGUGGCAGACAUCGGUGAUCCCGUACUGGUGAGUAACAACAAGGCUGGUCUGGACUACCCCAUCAUCCACCGUCCCCCCGCCCCAGUUCCAAGCCUUUGCCUUUGAAUCACCUCUACACCAGAGCUACCAUUACCACUCUAACCCAGCUGCCAGCUGCUCUUUUCCUUGGGUGGGAAGCCUCCCUCGCCCCUCUCCGCCCACCUGCUCCUUCCCGCUGGUGCACAUGCACUCUGCCCAUGCACGGGCCAGUGCCUGGAGAGCGGGCACACCCUGGUCACACGGCCGGCCGAGGGUCUGGUCCCUUCCGGGGACCGAAUGCGGUAGGAGGCCGAGUCAAGGCCCAGGCUUCCCCCGUUUGCACGGUCCGUCCACAGACGUGCACAACCGAGACGCCCUCUCUAGCCUCCUGCCCUCGCAGAGCUACAGUUCGGAGGAUGGCCCGACGACGCUCGGACCACGAAAACCGUUAAACCCGGGCUUCGCGCCAGUCUCCUUCCAAAGCCCGCGGAGGAAAGCCGAGGACCGGGCGUGGAAAGAACCCGCGGAGGCGGUCCUGUGGGACCACAAGCUCGCGGCUGGCCAGGGCCCGGGGAGGCCUGCUCCCAGCUCAGCCCCGGGGCUGCAGGCUGGCUCGCACCCGGUGGGGCAAUGGCCUCCAACUGCCCUCCCUGCGGCCCGGCGCCGGGGGGAGGGGAGACGGAGAGGCCGUUAUUGGCGCCCACGGGGGUCGGGGGCGCCCCCGGGGCGGGGCCCCUGCAGCGGCGGCCUUACCUCUUAGGAAAGGGACCUUGUCCGAUCGCCCUCUCGGUUUGCACCAGGUGAAGCAGUGCGGGGCCGUCGCUCCGGGUCCUCCUCCGGUGGCCGCCAGCUCUGUCAGCAGCGGGCGACUGGCGCCUUGACGGGACUCGGCCGCGAGCGGCCUGCUGAUUGGCCGGGGCUCGCCACGUGACUGUGCCUGCGCCUCAAAGCGCGGAGGUGCGAGCCGGGCCUGAGCCUGCUGCAAGGCGGCCGAGGCUUGGAAGGUCGGUCUCGGUCUCCAUCUCGCAGCAGGCUGGGUGCCUUCGCUCCCGACCGACCUCCACACCCCAGGAAGUUGUGGGCUUGCGAGUAGAGGGCUGCUGUGAGGGGUUUGCUGCUUGCUUGCUUGAUUGAUUGAUUGGUUUGGGUUUUGCAUUUAUUGUUUAUUUAUCUGGACACAGUCUCAGCCUGGGGGGACCUUGGACUGAUCCUCCGGCUUACUGGCGGCAUGUACUACUGUACCCAGUUCCAAGGUCUUCAUUAUGCUUUGUAUUUCAGAUGAAGAUGGUAGUUUUAUUAUGUUUUUAUCAACUGGCAUGUGUGUGUGUGUACACGCUCGCCUGUGCACAGGACAACCUCCAGGAGUCAGUUCGCAGUUCUCGCCUUCCAACCAUAAGGGUCCGGAGGAUAUGAUAGUGCUCCAGUCAUCAGCUAUGCUGGUUGUUUUCUGUCAGCCCAACACAAGCUUGGUUCAUCUGGGAAGAGAGAACCUCAGUUGAGAUAUUGCCUUCAUCAGAGUGGCCUGUAGGAGUCUGAGGGUCACAGAGCAGGAUGCGGAGAAAAUGGCCACCACAAACCAGGAAGCAGACCCCCACAAAACCUAGCAGCUUGCAACUGGACUUUCCAGCAUCCGGAACUGUGUGGCAUGAAUGUGCGCUGCUGGGGCCACCCAGGCCCUGGUUGUUUCUGCUAAGCACAUGGAACUGAGGCAAGUGGCAUUUGGUGAAGAGACGUGAAAAGAAAACGGUGAAGAAAAGAGAAGAAAUAUAAAGGAAGGGACAGACAUCCUGCAGAAUGUAUGGAAGGGGCUGAAGACACGGAGGUAGAGAGCUGACCGAGCACAGACAAGCCUGGGAUUGAUACUCAGCAUUGUGCGUGCGCGCGCGCGCGUGCACACACACACACACACACACACACACACACACAC